CAACAGGCAGCCUCUCCCCUCUGCCCACAGAGGAGGCCAGUGGAGCUGCCAAGUCAGCUCAAAGGUGAGCCUGGUAAAAAGCCCUCCUCUCCUGCUCAAUGAAUCUGUGCCCCAUGCAGACAUGGUGCCAGGGCUGUGUGGAGGAGCAAACAUUUCUCUAAUCUCUCCAGGGAUUUUUAAUCUAAGGGGAGAGAUAAAGCAUGUGCACGAUACUUCACAAAGUUUCCAAGGGAAAAUGCAUUGCAGGAGAUAAGCACAGUCUUGCCAGGGCUCUGAAAGCUGAGAGGAGGCACAGAACCUCCUGGCUGGGGGAAGCGUGCUGUGUGUGGUUCUGGCUGGGCUGCUAAGGAACAGGUCCCAUCUGAUGGAGGAGAAUCAAUUCAAGGAGAUGCCCUUCCUUUACAGAACACCCUUUAACAGCAUCCAGGAGGAACGAGAGGCUGCAAUACUGAGGCUUUCAAAGUACUCACGAGGAUGUCCGAGAAUGGCUGUGAUGCCAGGCUUCUGGCAGGUUCCAGACUCCAUCACAAGCCCAGCAUCCCUGCACCAGAUCUGACAUCGCUGCUGUUGUGCCAGCUGUUUAUGAAGGGCCUGAGUAGCUAGCAGGUUUUUAUCAGGAGCCCUGCUGGGGGCUUAGACACCAAAAGAGAAGACUCAUCCUCUGUAGUUCUUCUUGUGAAUGUCCUUUUAGAAAAACAAUUAGAACCAACCACAAGCACCAAAGUCCUAAUGGGAUCUCCUGCGAGCACAUAUCAAGCAGGAUUGUUGCUAUUUCUCCUCACUGGCUCUUUGGACAGACUGUGUGAGCUCCUGGAGGGUUCCACUGUAUCUACCCUUUGACACUGACCAGUUGGCACAUGGUGACAUAUUCCAAUGUGUUGAUUGCAAAUGUGAACGUACAGCCAGUGCUGUGUGCGGGAGGACUCUCUCCUCCUCAGUGGGGCCACACCGUGCACUAUUAAUGGAGCCCCACUCCUUUGCACAGCCUGGCCAUGCAGUGGCUCAUAUUGAGGUUUUAGCCAACUGAAAUCUCCCGUGCAUUUUUCUGACAAGCCAGCUAGGCCUCUGCUAUGCUGUCCUUGUGUCUUUCAUUUGAUGACCUUAAGGGUGGGACUGUUUUAUCUUAAGUUACAGGUGGUCAAGUCCAGCCCAAGGACAGCAACUCUGAGGGUCAAGCCUCAUAGGCUAACUGGAUAGAUGUUCUCUGCUUUGCCACCCACUGGAGCCCGACCUGCCCCACUAAUUUAUAUUUCCCCUGGUCUCAUUUUGUACUUUUUAUUUAUAAUUCACCCUUAAAGUGUAUGUGUCUCUUAUAAGCUGCCUCCGAUCUUUCAUGGUAUGAGGUGGUUACCUAAAUAAAGAAGGAGAUUUGGCCUUUGUUUUUAUGUAACAGGACAGAUUUGCGAGUCUUUGUGAUCUCAUAACAGUUCUCCCAGUU
rnacentral:lncRNA from 10 species